rnacentral:tRNA from 1 species
AGUUAGGUAGUUUAGUAAAACAUCAACUUGUGGCGUUGAAAUCAUCUGUUCAGGUCCUGGCUA